GCCGAUAUAGCUCAGGGGUAGAGCAACUGAUUCGUAAUCAGUAGGUCGUAGGUUCAAUUCCCACUAUCGGCACCA
rnacentral:tRNA from 1 species